rnacentral:rRNA from 1 species
CGCAAGCCUGACGGAGCAAUGCCGCGUGUGGGAUGAAGCUGUUUCGCAGUGUAAACCACUGUCAGGGUCUCGCACCAACGAGCAGACCCAGAGGAAGGGCCGGCUAAUUCCGUGCCAGCAGCCGCGGUAAUACGGAAGGCCCGAGCGUUAAUCGGAAUCACUGGGCUUAAAGCGUGCGCAGGCGGAUCUUCAGGCAUCUCGUGAAAUCCCACGGCUCAACCGUGGAACAGCGGGGUGAGCCGUUGAUCUCGAGGCAGGUAGGGGUGAGUGGAACUAUGGGUGGAGCGGUGAAAUGCGUAGAUAUCCAUGGGAACGCCGAUGGCGAAGGCAACUCACUGGGCCUGUCCUGACGCUCAGGCACGAAAGCGUGGGUAGCG